rnacentral:rRNA from 1 species
CUACGGAGGGUGCAAGCGUUACUCGGAAUCACUGGGCGUAAAGCGCGCGCAGGCGGCUAUUUAAGUUGGAUGUGAAAGCCUACGGCUCAACCGUAGAACUGCAUCCAAAACUAUUUAGCUAGAGUGUGGGAGAGGAAGAUGGAAUUAGUUGUGAAGGUGUAAAAUCCGUAGAGAUAACUAGGAAUACCAAAAACGAAGGCAAUCUUCUGGAACACUACUGACGCUGAGGCGCGAAAGCGUGGGGAGCAAACGGGAUUAGAAACCCUAGUAGUCC